rnacentral:Y_RNA from 1 species
GGCUGGUCCAAUGGGAGUGCGUUAUCAGAACCUAUUAACAUUAGAGUCACUAUAGUUGAUAUACAAACACCCACUGCUAAAUUUUGCUGUCUUUA